rnacentral:rRNA from 1 species
CAGCAGCCGCGGGAAUACGUAGGGUGCGAGCGUUAAUCGGAAUUACUGGGCGUAAAGCGUGCGCAGGCGGUUCGUUAAGACAGAUGUGAAAUCCCCGGGCUUAACCUGGGAACUGCAUUUGUGACUGGCGAGCUAGAGCAUGGCAGAGGGGGGUAGGAUUCCACGUGUAGCAGUGAAAUGCGUAGAGAUGUGGAGGAAUACCGAUGGCGAAGGCAGCCCCCUGGGCCAAUACUAACGCUCAUGCACGAAAGCGUGGGGAGCAAACAGGAUUAGAUACCCCCGUAGUCCCUGUCUCUUAUAC